GGGGGGGGGUUGGCAGACGACCUUUGGGGAUUGAGAGGUGAUUGACGGCAGCUUUGAGAGAAGAGGAGACGCACGGAAAGGCAGCCGCCCUGCACGGUUCAAGGCAUGAAUGUUUAGGUGGCUUUCUUCAAGCGUACGGUUCAUAGGUCAUCAAGCAGCAGUGGAGAUGAAAGGCCUUCAAGGACUGUCUAUGGGAUGCUGCAACUUCCAGAACAGUUCCAGAUUUUGAAUUGAGAUGCUUGAACUUAAAAGUUAUAAUCAAGAAGCCUAUGACUAGUUGGCAGCCAUUCCUCCCAUUCACUGGUCCAGGUCUCACUUUACAGGUAGGGCCAAGAAUGAUACUUUAUUGAACAACAUGUGUGAAUGCUUGAAUGCACAAACUAUGGAUGGGGGAGAUAAGCCUAUCAUUUCAGCUUUAGAAUAUGUGAGGGAGUAUUUGAUGCAGAGAAUUGUCAUUGUCAUCAGGGCGUUAGGCAAGUGCAAUGGUCCUCUUACCCCACAUGCUACUGAAAGACUAAUAGAUAUUAAAGAACAAGCAGUUAAUUACAGUGAUAUUUGUAACUUAGCAAUGGAGUAAGGAGUGAAUCAAUAAUUGUACAUUUUAUUUCAUGCACCAAAUGAAAGGUAUGAAUGAUC
rnacentral:lncRNA from 1 species